rnacentral:rRNA from 1 species
AUUGAACGCUGGCGGCAGGCCUAACACAUGCAAGUCGAGCGGAUGAGUGGAGCUUGCUCCAUGAUUCAGCGGCGGACGGGUGAGUAAUGCCUAGGAAUCUGCCUGGUAGUGGGGGACAACGUUUCGAAAGGAACGCUAAUACCGCCUACGUCCUACGAGAGAAAGCAGGGGUCCUUCGGGCCUUUCGCUAACAGAUGAGCCUAGGUCGGAUUAGCUAGUAGGUGAGGUAAUGGCUGACCUAGGCGACGAUCCGUAACUGGUCUGAGAGGAUGAUCAGUCACACUGGAACUGAGACACGGUCCAGACUCCUACGGGAGGCAGCAGUGGGGAAUAUUGGACAAUGGGCGAAAGCCUGAUCCAGCCAUGCCGCGUGUGUGAAGAAGGUCUUCGGAUUGUAAAGCACUUUAAGUUGGGAGGAAGGGCAGUAAGUUAAUACCUUGCUGUUUUGACGUUACCAACAGAAUAAGCACCGGCUAACUUCGUGCCAGCAGCCGCCGUAAGAC